rnacentral:sRNA from 1 species
UAAAAGUGUUUCGCUGCGACCACCGAGCGGCAAGCUUGCUUGCCUGCUCGUGUGGGCAUAGCGAAACCAAAGCAGGUAUGAGGAAAAAAGCUACGCGAGCGAAGCGAGUGGAGCGAUUUCCGAAUACCUGCUUUUUUGAUUGCGGGAGUGCGAAGCACGGAGCAAUCAAAACUUUUA